UGAUGAUGGCAAUGCCAAUUCAGUUGUGGUUGCAGAGUGACUAUGUGGAGCUUUUGAAGGAAAAGGAUAAACCAAGAAGCCUGGGCGAUCGUCUAUUGGCGGCAACCUGGUAUACAUGACCUCAUUGACCUGCCUGAAUCUUUUGAUGAUAGAUCAUUAAUAUGUCAUAGAGGUAAAAAAAGAAAUUCUGCACUCGGUACAACUGAGCAUUUUAUUAUGGAAGUGAUGGACAAUCUCUUGCAUUGUCUUGUGUCUGUCCAUGUACGUAUUUCACCUAUAAGCAUAACACAUAGGCUGGCAUAAUUCUAGAGAGGUUAUUUUUAGUCUAAAAGCAUAUGUAUUUUUUACACUCCUAACACUUACAAUUCAUAUUUUUUGUAUUUAUAGUAGUCAA